rnacentral:rRNA from 1 species
GACGAACGCUGGCGGCGUGCUUAAUACAUGCAAGUAGAACGCUGAAGGAGGCGUUUGCUCUUCUGGAUGAGUUGCGAACGGGUGAGUAACGCGUAGGUAACCUGCCCGGUACUGGGGGAUAACUUUUGGAAACGUUAGCUAAUACCGCAUAAGAGUAGAUGUUGCAUGUCUUUUACUUAAAAGGUUCAAUUGCUUCACUUCUAGUUGGACCUUCGGUGUUUUUGUUUGUUGGUGGGGUCACGGCUUACCAAGGCGAGGGUACAUAGCCGACCUGGGAGGGGGAUCGGCCACACUGGGAGGGGGACACGGCCCAGAAGCCUACGGGAAGCAGCAGUAGGGAAACGUGGGAAAUAGACGGAAGACAGACCGAACAACGCCGCGGGAGUGAAGAAGGUAAUCGGGUCGUAAAGCACUGUUGUAAGGGAAGAAAGAGUGUGAGAGUGGAAAGAUCACACUGUGACGGUAACUGACCAGAAAGGGACGGCUAACUACGUG